rnacentral:rRNA from 1 species
AAAGUGACCCCAGGUCAGGCGGGACUACCCGCUGAAUUUAAGC